rnacentral:rRNA from 1 species
UUGGCUUAGAAGCAGCCAUCAUUUAAAGAAAGCGUAAUAGCUCACUGGUCGAGUCGGCCUGCGCGGAAGAUGUAACGGGGCUAAACCAUGCACCGAAGCUGCGGCAGCGACACUGUGUGUUGUUGGGUAGGGGAGCGUUCUGUAAGCCUGUGAAGGUGUGUCGUGAGGCAUGCUGGAGGUAUCAGAAGUGCGAAUGCUGACAUAAGUAACGAUAAAGCGGGUGAAAAGCCCGCUCGCCGGAAGACCAAGGGUUCCUGUCCAACGUUAAUCGGGGCAGGGUGAGUCGACCCCUAAGGCGAGGCCGAAAGGCGUAGUCGAUGGGAAACGGGUUAAUAUUCCCGUACUUGGUGUUACUGCGAAGGGGGGACGGAGAAGGCUAUGUUGGCCGGGCGACGGUUGUCCCGGUUUAAGCGUGUAGGUGUGUGUUCCAGGUAAAUCCGGUUCACUUUAACACUGAGGCGUGACGACGAGGCACUACGGUGCUGAAGCAACAAAUGCCCUGCUUCCAGGAAAAGCCUCUAAGCAUCAGGUAACAUCAAAUCGUACCCCAAACCGACACAGGUGGUCAGGUAGAGAAUACCAAGGCGCUUGAGAGAACUCGGGUGAAGGAACUAGGCAAAAUGGUGCCGUAACUUCGGGAGAAGGCACGCUGACACGUAGGUGAAGUGAUUUACUCAUGGAGCUGAAGUCAGUCGAAGAUACCAGCUGGCUGCAACUGUUUAUUAAAAACACAGCACUGUGCAAACACGAAAGUGGACGUAUACGGUGUGACGCCUGCCCGGUGCCGGAAGGUUAAUUGAUGGGGUCAGCGCAAGCGAAGCUCCUGAUCGAAGCCCCGGUAAACGGCGGCCGUAACUAUAACGGUCCUAAGGUAGCGAAAUUCCUUGUCGGGUAAGUUCCGACCUGCACGAAUGGCGUAAUGAUGGCCAGGCUGUCUCCACCCGAGACUCAGUGAAAUUGAACUCGCUGUGAAGAUGCAGUGUACCCGCGGCAAGACGGAAAGACCCCGUGAACCUUUACUAUAGCUUGACACUGAACAUUGAGCCUUGAUGUGUAGGAUAGGUGGGAGGCUUUGAAGUGUGGACGCCAGUCUGCAUGGAGCCGACCUUGAAAUACCACCCUUUAAUGUUUGAUGUUCUAACGUGGACCCGUUACCCGGGUUGCGGACAGUGUCUGGUGGGUAGUUUGACUGGGGCGGUCUCCUCC